rnacentral:rRNA from 1 species
GCUUAACCCUAAACUUAGAUAUUUAAUAAACAAAAAUAUCCGCCAGAGAACUACGAGCAAAACGCUUAAAACUCUAAGGACUUGGCGGUACCUCAAACCCCCCUAGAGGAGCCUGUUCUAUAAUCGAUAAUCCACGAUUCACCCCACCAUCUCUUGCCAAUACCGCCUAUAUACCACCGUCACCAGCUUACCCUAUGAGGGCACAAAAGUAGGCAAAACAACCAAACAGUUAACAAGUCAGGUCAAGGUGUAGCUAACUGAGAUGGGAGAAAUGGGCUACAUUUUCUACACUAGAAAUAAUUUACGGAAAGGAACUAUGAAAUAAGUCCUAUAAGCAGGAUUUAGCAGUAAACCUGGAUCAAAAUGCCUAAUUUAAACCGGUCCUGAGGUGC